rnacentral:rRNA from 1 species
UACAGAGGAUGCAAGCGUUAUCCGGAAUGAUUGGGCGUAAAGCGUCUGUAGGUGGCUUUUUAAGUCCGCCGUCAAAUCCCAGGGCUCAACUCUGGACAGGCGGUGGAUACUACCAAGCUGGAGUACGGUAGGGGCAGAGGGAAUUUCCGGUGGAGCGGUGAAAUGCGUAGAGAUCCGGAGGAACACCGACGGCGUAGGCAGCGCCCUGGCUGUGAAUAAAGCUGACACUGAGGCACGAAAGCUGGGGGAGCAAACAGG